rnacentral:rRNA from 1 species
UACGUAGGGUGCAAGCGUUGUCCGGAAUUAUUGGGCGUAAAGAGCUCGUAGGCGGUUUGUUGCGUCGGCUGUGAAAACCUGAGGCUCAACCUCAGGCCUGCAGUCGAUACGAGCAGACUAGAGUGUUGCAGGGGAGACUGGAAUUCCUGGUGUAGCGGUGAAAUGCGCAGAUAUCAGGAGGAACACCGGUGGCGAAGGCGGGGUCUCUGGGCAACAACUGACGCUGAGGAGCGAAAGCGUGGGGAGCGAACAGG